rnacentral:lncRNA from 1 species
CUUAACACCCACAGACAGUAAUCCACAAAAUAGCAUUCAGAGAGGAGACCUUUGAUCUCCUGUUAAUUGGUUGUCUUGGAUUUUUUUAUAAUAUUCAUCAUGACUUGAUAUAUUUAAGAAUAUCAGUUCUAGUAUGAUAUUUGUAAAAAUUUUUUACAAAAAAUUUUUUUAUUGUCUAGACAAUAAUAUCAGUGCAUUUCUGUAAGGUAGAAAACCUUUCUCCCAGUUAGGGUGAAUAAUUUGAUAUUCCACAAACUCACAGUAGUCAGUGAGACAGUGUGGUUUGUUCAUCUUGAAAAGUAAAGCUGCAUACAGGACACAUGCUGAUUCAGAAAGACCUUCCAGCUUAUGAAGACAGAGAAAAUGAAAUCUAACUUCUCCCAUUUCUUGGUGGUAUUAUUCAUAGUCUCACUUACAAGUUGAGUUGCAGAUUUAUGUUGCAGACAAAAUAGGAGAGUAAGAGCAUUAUUGUAGAGUAUUAGGAAGGUGUACUGCACAGACAUACUUAUUUCACUCCAGCUAUUUAAAAGACUGGCUGAGCCUUUGCAUGACAUUCUUUAAAAGCUAAAAUAACUAUAAUCAGUCCAUGUAUUCAGUGUGCUUUGUAAUAGCUCAUUCUCUGUGUUGCACUUACAUUCUAAUAAAGAAGUUUAUAAAUUUUCAAGCAAUUCUACUGCAUUUUAAGCAUUAGUCCAUCCUGGGAAUUGAAGAGCCACUCAACUUCUAGAGCUCAGCUGACAAGGCAAAUCUAAGGCAUGCAGUUAUUUGAAUGGCUUAUUAAGCUUAAAUCAUAACCAAUUAGUAAGGAUUGUGCUGUUCCCCUCCCUCAUUGGUAAAUACUCAUUUAUUUUCUUGUCUCAUUUACUUUCUUGUAUAUCAUUAUUAAUAAUCUUUCUCUCCUGCAUAAAACAACAUGCCUGAAAAAGCAGAUGAAAGGAAACAAUGAAGAUCUUGAAGAUUACACAUGCUGACAUUUAAGAAGAAAUAUUCCAGUAAUGUGGCUGAAGUUAUCUGCAAUAUUAAUAGCCCAUUUCUGACUAUCAGAAUUGAUUUGUACAUGGGAGGCAAGUGUUCACCAUUCAGCACUAAGAGUUCAAAGAUGUUGGAAAAAUAAGAUUUCAUUCCUACUACAAAUAAGAAGAAGAAAACUUUUUGUUUCCUUUUCUAUAAGGAAAUAUGGAAGAAAAUUGAUGUUGUCUCAGUUCCUUAAAAAUAUAUAGCUUUUUUACAGCAGAACCUCAGAACAAUCUUGAAGAACAACUUGUCUGUAUAAAUUCAUUCUUACAAUGCCCAUCUCUCCCUUCCUACUUCCUGAAGAGCCCCUAGUGUGUGAUCUAGUUAGGAAGAGAGAGUAAGGGGAAAUAGCAUCACACUAAGAGAAGUGUAAGAACUCCUUCAGCAGCAGCCUC